AGUGAACGCUGGCGGUAGGCCUAACACAUGCAAGUCGAACGGCAGCACAGUAAGAGCUUGCUCUUACGGGUGGCGAGUGGCGGACGGGUGAGGAAUACAUCGGAAUCUACUUUUUCGUGGGGGAUAACGUAGGGAAACUUACGCUAAUACCGCAUACGACCUACUGGUGAAAGCAGGGGAUCUUCGGACCUUGCGCGAUUGAAUGAGCCGAUGUCGGAUUAGCUAGUUGGCGGGGUAAAGGCCCACCAAGGCGACGAUCCGUAGCUGGUCUGAGAGGAUGAUCAGCCACACUGGAACUGAGACACGGUCCAGACUCCUACGGGAGGCAGCAGUGGGGAAUAUUGGACAAUGGGCGCAAGCCUGAUCCAGCCAUACCGAGUGGGUGAAGAAGGCCUUCGGGUUGUAAAGCCCUUUUGUUGGGAAAGAAAAGCAGCAGGUUAAUACCCCGCUGUUCUGACGGUACCCAAAGAAUAAGCACCGGCUAACUUCGUG
rnacentral:rRNA from 1 species